rnacentral:rRNA from 1 species
UACGUAGGGUCCGAGCGUUGUCCGGAAUUACUGGGCGUAAAGCGUGCGCAGGCGGUUUUUCAAGACAGAUGUGAAAUCCCCGGGCUCAACCUGGGAAUUGCAUUGGAGACUGCAAGGCUAGAAUCUGGCAGAGGGGGGUAGAAUUCCACGUGUAGCAGUGAAAUGCGUAGAGAUGUGGAGGAACACCGAUGGCGAAGGCAGCCCCCUGGGUCAAGAUUGACGCUCAUGCACGAAAGCGUGGGGAGCAAACAGG